rnacentral:rRNA from 1 species
CCUGACUGCUAUCGGAUUGAUACUAAGCCAUGCGAGUCAUUGUAGCAAUACAAGGCAGACGGCUCAGUAACGCGUAGUCAAUCUACCCUAUGGACGGGAAUAACCUCGGGAAACUGAGAAUAAUGCCCGAUAGAACAUUAUGCCUGGAAUGGUUUAUGUUUCAAAUGAUUUAUCGCCAUAGGAUGGGACUGCGGCCUAUCAGUUUGUUGGUGAGGUAAUGGCCCACCAAGACUAUUACAGGUACGGGCUCUGAGAGGAGUAGCCCGGAGAUGGGUACUGAGACACGGACCCAGGCCCUAUGGGGCGCAGCAGGCGAGAAAACUUUGCAAUGUGCGAAAGCACGACAAGGUUAAUCCGAGUGGUUUCUGCUAAAGAAACCUUUUGUCAGUCCUAGAAACACUAACGAAUAAGGGGUGGGCAAGUUCUGGUGUCAGCCGCCGCGGUAAAACCAGCACCUCAAGUGGUCAGGAUGAUUAUUGGGCCUAAAGCAUCCGUAGCUCGUUUUGUAAGUUUUCGGUUAAAUCCAUGCGCUUAACGUAUGGGCUGCCGGGAAUACUGCAUAACUAGGAAGUGGGAGAGGUAGACGGUACUCGGGAGGAAGGGGUAAAAUCCUUUGAUCUCUUGAUGACCACCUGUGGCGAAGGCGGUCUACCAGAACACGUUCGACGGUGAGGGAUGAAAGCUGGGGGAGCAAACCGGAUUAGAUACCCGGGUAGUCCCAGCUGUAAACUAUGCAAACUCAGUGAUGCAUUGGCUUAUGGGCCAAUGCAGUGCUGCAGGGAAGCCGUUAAGUUUGCCGCCUGGGAAGUACGUACGCAAGUACGAAACUUAAAGGAAUUGGCGGGGAGCACACAAGGGUGAAGCCUGCGGUUCAAUUG